UUAAAUUGAAGAGUUUGAUCAUGGCUCAGAUUGAACGCUGGCGGCAGGCUUAACACAUGCAAGUCGAACGGUAGCAGGAAGG
rnacentral:rRNA from 1 species